UGGCACAAUGGAGAGUAAGUGGGGGAGUUGGAGGAAAAGAAGCCACAGAACAAACACCACCUAAAGGAGUUAAACCUCCAACUUCCCCAAGAUUUGGUGAGAGAAGACGGGUGUGAAAUGAUAGAAAUUCCAAUCGAAAUGUCGAAAAGUUUGAGAAGGAGUCUGAAACAUCCAGGUUGUACUCCACUUCCUGCCAUGUCGAACACAGCAAAGUAGAAUAAAGCAUAUGUUAGA
rnacentral:lncRNA from 1 species